AAAAAAAAAAAAGAAAGAAAAGAAAAAGAAGAAAAAGAAGAAAAAAAAUUGUCAAGCCCCCGAACUGAAGGUUACGAGCGGCCCGUCAGCAGCCCACAUGUAACCGAACUGUCGUGUUUCAUGGCUUUUUGCCACUCCAGCUGUCAAUCAAAGCCCGGAAUGUCAAGAAGAACUCCCAAGAUUAAAAGCAUCCUCCUUAUUUGUUGCUGAGUUGCUCAUCGACAUGUAAGAAAAGGAUUCCCUCCAAGUCUGAUAGGAAAGACAGGGCCACUUCUGGAUGAGCUGUAAGGAUUCGCUUUCAUUUCCAUAAUACCGAGGCACUUUUUACAAACCUUGUAUUGUACUUAAAUAAAUCUAUCUGGACAUUAAGUGACUCACACAAAGAUAGCUUGGCUUUGUGCUGUCAAUCUUACCAUUAAAAAAAAAAUCCAGAACACACCUGAGAAGCUUUUCCAUAU